rnacentral:rRNA from 1 species
GACGAACGCUGGCGGCGUGCCUAAUACAUGCAAGCAGAACGCUGAAGAGAGGAGCUUGCUCUUCUUGGAUGAGUUGCGAACGGGUGAGUAACGCGUAGGUAACCUGCCUGGUAGCGGGGGAUAACUAUUGGAAACGAUAGCUAAUACCGCAUAAAAUUGAUUAUUGCAUGAUAAUUAAUUGAAAGAUGCAACUGCAUCACUACCAGAUGGACCUGCGUUGUAUUAGCUAGUUGGUGAGGUAACGGCUCACCAAGGCGACGAUACAUAGCCGACCUGAGAGGGUGAUCGGCCACACUGGGACUGAGACACGGCCCAGACUCCUACGGGAGGCAGCAGUAGGGAAUCUUCGGCAAUGGGGGGAACCCUGACCGAGCAACGCCGCGUGAGUGAAGAAGGUUUUCGGAUCGUAAAGCUCUGUUGUAAGAGAAGAACGGGUGUGAGAGUGGAAAGUUCACACUGUGACGUAUCUACCAGAAA